GUAGCGGGUCAACCCAUCGGGUCGCGGUCGAUUCGGUUGAACUAUACCACCCCCACACCCUAUACGAGAUCAGUGAUGGGCUUCAGGCUUGGGCCUAUCGGCCCAACCCCUCUGUUUCCAUCACAGAUCUCAGAAAACUUCCCAUUCAGGUCGCCACCAAAAUAUGUCAAAAUGGGUCAAUCUUAAAAACGGGUCAAGAAUUUGAGACAAACUUAACAUACUCUAUUGAUAUUUAGUACCACAUAGCUACAGAAACCCUAUUAGUUCCAUAUGCAAUAUGCCAUACAAAAGUUUGUGCGCAUGCAUUUUUAUGAUAUAGUUGUUCUAUAGUGUAUGUUGGUAGGAAAAUAGCUUGAACUAAUUGUUUUACUUUCUCUUUUUAAACAGCCCUUUAAGGACAUGAUUGAUGGGAUGAGACUGAACUUGAAGAAAUCUAUAUACAAGAAAUUUGAUGAACUGUAUCUCUACUGCUAUUAUGUAGCUGGUACAAUUGGACAAAUAAAUUAAGGUUUGAUAUAGGACAAAAUCAAGAGUCUUUGUUGGCUCUGUUUUGUAAAGGUGGAAGAGUCUUGGUGAACAAUAGCACAUGAAAAA